ensembl:lncRNA
AGAAAGACCACAACCAAGCAGCCUUGAGAUCUUAGGCAGCAUCUCCCUGAGGUCCCUCUCUAUCUCCCCACACAUCCACCAACCACUGGAACACAUCUCCAAAGUUCUGCUGGGCCAGCUCAGCUUCCCCUCAGAAGAAGUGCCGCCACCUGCCAGAUGAAGGAGCCUUUUGAGAGGCAGCUGGCAUCGUGAUUGGACUGUACUUUGGUCUGUUCCAAUCCAGCUUCAGCUCCAGAGACGGCAGGCGGGACGAGUCAACGGAGGCCUGGUGGACGAAGACAUGCAGCUGAGUACAAUCCAGAAAACAACAGAGGAGGAGUGCAGCGGCCCAGUAUAGCCUUUGACCAAAGAACUACAGACUCUUCACAACCUGCUCAAACUCUUGGUACAGGACCUCACCACACGGGUCAAGAAGGUUUCCGUCUCAUUUCUACUCUGAAGCUCACCUUCUCCUGCUCAAACUGCUGACAAAUGUUUCUGCUGCUCUAAAGUCUGGUCUCCAGAACUUCCUAAAAACUCUCAAAGUCUCUUCUGCU